rnacentral:piRNA from 1 species
UUAAAAAAAAUACACAGAUGUGCUUUUAGU